UAAAGCAAAGCUUUUUAGUUAAGCGUUUCACUUACGUUGAAAAGAUAUUCGUGCGAUUCGAUUUGUUUUAA
rnacentral:tRNA from 2 species